UUGGACCUUGCAGGGUAUCAAGGCAUGUGAUCGAGUUUGUGACGCACGUCCGGUUAGUCGAAUUGUAAGUGUUUUCAGGUGAUCGUGAACCGAGGAUGUACGUGAGUAGUGCUUUCCUUGCCGGAGCUGAUGUAGCCGUUGAGGUGACAUAGACGAGGAGUUGGAUUUUGGGCUCGACGAGAGGACGAUCUAGCUAGUAUGGUAUAGCGAUUGCCACCCUGGGGUUCGUAUACUGACGGUUGAUCGAGGUAAGGGGGAUCACGCAGUAGUUAGCAUCUCCUAC